AUUGAACGCUGGCGGCAUGCCUAACACAUGCAAGUCGAACGGAGGUAGGGGCAACUCUACUUCAGUGGCGGACGGGUGAGGAAUGCGUCGGAAUCUACCCUAUGGUGGGGGAUAACACAGGGAAACUUGUGCUAAUACCGCAUAAUGUCGAGAGACCAAAGCAGGGGACCGCAAGGCCUUGCGCGAUAGGAUGAGCCGACGCCCGAUUAGCUAGUUGGUAGGGUAAAGGCCUACCAAGGCGACGAUCGGUAGCUGGUCUGAGAGGAUGAUCAGCCACACUGGGACUGAGACACGGCCCAGACUCCUACGGGAGGCAGCAGUGGGGAAUAUUGGACAAUGGGCGCAAGCCUGAUCCAGCAAUGCCGCGUGUGUGAAGAAGGCCUGCGGGUUGUAAAGCACUUUUGUUCGGGAAGAAAUCAUGCUGGUUAAUACCUGGUAUGGAUGACGGUACCGAAAGAAUAAGCACCGGCUAACUUCGUGCCAGCAGCC
rnacentral:rRNA from 1 species